rnacentral:rRNA from 1 species
AUGGGCGCAAGCCUGAUCCAGCAAUGCCGCGUGGGUGAAGAAGGUCUUCGGAUCGUAAAGCCCUUUCGACGGGGUACGAUGAUGACGGUACCCGUAGUAAGAAGCCCCGGCUAACUUCGUGCCAGCAGCCGCGGUAAUACGAAGGGGGCUAGCGUUGCUCGGAAUUACUGGGCGUAAAGGGCGCGUAGGCGGUCAUUUUAGUCAGGCGUGAAAUUCCCGGGCUUAACCUGGGGACUGCGCUUGAUUACUGGGUGACUAGAGGGUGGAAGAGGGUCGUGGAAAUUUCCCAGUGUAGAGGUGAAAUUCGUAGAUAUUGGGAAGAACACCGGUGGCGCAA